CUUCAACGAGCCCAGCCACAGGGGCCGUUCGGGGUCGCGCUCCUGUCCGUAGACGUCGAGCAGUGCCUGCGCCUC
rnacentral:antisense_RNA from 1 species